GAAAGAUUAGUUAAAAAUAACAUCAGAAUGUCACCCUGAAAUUAUUAAUGUCUAUUAAUAUCUUUUA
rnacentral:tRNA from 1 species